rnacentral:rRNA from 1 species
UAAUAUAUCAACCUUCUCUUGUUGAGUGGUUUGGAUGUGGGGGUUUGCUGGCCUCUUGAAAGAGGUUAUAGCUCUCCUGAAAUGCAUUAGCGGAACAACCCUGUUCAUUGGUGUGAUAACUAUCUACGCUAUUGAAUGUGAAGGGCAGUUUGGCUUUCUAACAGUCCUUGGACAAAGCUCAUCAUUAAUGUGACCUCAAAUCAGGUAGGACUACCCGCUGAACUUAAGCAUAUCAAUAAGCGGAGGAAAAGAAACUAACAAGGAUUCCCCUAGUAACUGCGAGUGAAGCGGGAAAAGCUCAAAUUUAAAAUCUGGCGGUCUUUUGGCUGUCCGAGUUGUAAUCUAGAGAAGUG